AAACCAACAGGGAUUGCCUCAGUAACGGCGAGUGAAGCGGCAAAAGCUCAAAUUUGAAAUCUGGCGUCUUUGGCGUCCGAGUUGUAAUUUGAAGAUGGCAACUUUGGGUCUGGUGCUUGUCUAAGUUCCUUGGAACAGGACGUCAUAGAGGGUGAGAAUCCCGUAUGAUGAGAGAGCCAGAUCUUUGUAAAGUGCCUUCGAAGAGUCGAGUUGUUUGGGAAUGCAGCUCUAAGUGGGUGGUAAAUUCCAUCUAAAGCUAAAUAUUGGCGAGAGACCGAUAGCGAACAAGUACAGUGAUGGAAAGAUGAAAAGAACUUUGAAAAGAGAGUGAAAAAGUACGUGAAAUUGUUGAAAGGGAAGGGUUUGAGAUCAGACAUGGUAUUUUGUACACCUUCUCUCUCGGGAGGGGGCCUCUGCAGUUUACUGGGCCAGCAUCAGUUUGGACGGUAGGAUAAUGAUUAAGGAAUGUGGCUCUUCUUCGGGAGAGUGUUAUAGCCUUGGUUGAUACUGCCUGUCUAGACUGAGGACCGCGUCUUUGACUAGGAUGUUGGCAUAAUGAUCUUAAGCCA
rnacentral:rRNA from 1 species